rnacentral:rRNA from 1 species
AGAAGCACCGGCUAACUCCGUGCCAGCAGCCGCGGUAAUACGGAGGGUGCAAGCGUUAAUCGGAAUUACUGGGCGUAAAGCGCACGCAGGCGGUUUGUUAAGUCAGAUGUGAAAUCCCCGGGCUCAACCUGGGAACUGCAUCUGAUACUGGCAAGCUUGAGUCUCGUAGAGGGGGGUAGAAUUCCAGGUGUAGCGGUGAAAUGCGUAGAGAUCUGGAGGAAUACCGGUGGCGAAGGCGGCCCCCUGGACGAAGACUGACGCUCAGGUGCGAAAGCGUGG